rnacentral:rRNA from 1 species
UGGCUCAGGACGAACGCUGGCGGCAUGCUUAACACAUGCAAGUCGAACGAACUUGAUUCCUUCGGGAUGAAAAGUAGUGGCGGACGGGUGAGUAAUGUAUGAGCAAUCUGCCCUUUUCAUCGGGAUAACAUAGGGAAACUUAUGCUAAUACCGAAUAUGACCACGGUAUCGCAUGGUACUGCGGUGAAAGCUCCGGCGGAAAAAGGAUGAGCUCAUAUCCUAUUAGUUAGUUGGUGAGAUAACAGCCCACCAAGACAGCGAUGGGUAGCCGAGCUGAGAGGCUGAUCGGCCACAUUGGGACUGAAACACGGCCCAGACUUCUACGGAAGGCAGCAGUGGGGAAUAUUGGUCAAUGGAGGCAACUCUGAAAACCCAGCAAUGCCGCGUGAGUGAUGAAAAUCUUACGAUUGUAAAACUCUAAACUUAGAGACGAUAAUGACGGUAUCUAAGGAUAAGCCCCGGCUAACUACGUGCCAGCCGCUGC